GUGGGUAUAGUUUAUUAAAAUCCUAGACUGUGACUCUAGGGAUGAGGACUAAUUAUCCUCUAUCCACC
rnacentral:tRNA from 1 species